rnacentral:lncRNA from 1 species
UUUUAUAAGAUAGUCUCAUUUUAACAAUUGUGGAUUAUUUCCCUUAUAUCAUGAUGGGCUGUAUUGAAACAGUUUUGCUUCAUGAUGAAUACAUAAUAUUUAGAAAACUUAAUUUACAUGCAAUAUUAAAUAUAGGCCAUGUUUCUUUCAUUCUUUUGGCAGCUUUUUCUUUUCUUUAUAUUAAUAUCUUCAGGAUGAGAGUGCCUUUAUUCCAAUGGCUGUGAGCUUGAAAUCACCUGCACUAAGUCUUGUGCUGAAGAUAUCUUCUAUGAGUCAAUUAACUGCAUGUCUACCUCCAGUUAAAGAAAAAUAUCAGUUACUGGCCAGCUUUAAGCCUCUAUGAAAAGGGAUAACUGCCUGUAUGAACUGUCCAAACACCAAGGUUACGAGGAGUACACAGUCUGUAAUCAUGACUGAUGAGCUUUUUCCCAACAGAGCCAGUGGCAUCAAAAUGCGAGGAACUAGAAUGUCUGUAUGCGUGUGUCAGCAAGCUGGUCUAUGAGGGACUCACCAAUAAUGACAAUUGCGAGUGAACAUCUGAUACUCAGCCUUGACCUAGUGAAGAAUGGGGUUGUUGCCAUGGCGAUGUUAAUGAGGAAGAGUUUUUCAGGUCUUGGUCGGGCUUGUUGAGAAAACUCCAUUUUGUCAAGUGAUGAAGGCUAGAACAAAAGUGGUUGAGGACUGGUCA